rnacentral:misc_RNA from 1 species
UCUCCGUAGGUGAACCUGCGGAGGGAUCAUUACAGAGUUCAUGCCCUACCGGGUAGAUCUCCCACCCUAUGUUAUUAUUACUUUGUUGCUUUGGCGGGCCGUUAGGCUCCGGCCCGACUACCGGCCCCGGCUGGUAAGCGCCCGCCAGAGGACCCCAAACCCUGAACGUCAGUGUCGUCUGAGUACUAUACAAUAGUUAAAACUUUCAACAACGGAUCUCUUGGUUCUG